rnacentral:rRNA from 1 species
AACGCGAAGAACCUUACCAGGUCUUGACAUCCUUUUGCCAUCCCUAGAGAUAGGGCUUUCCCUUCGGGGACAAAAGUGACAGGUGGUGCAUGGUUGUCGUCAGCUCGUGUCGUGAGAUGUUGGGUUAAGUCCCGCAACGAGCGCAACCCUUGAUCUUAGUUGCCAGCAUUUAGUUGGGCACUCUAAGGUGACUGCCGGUGACAAACCGGAGGAAGGUGGGGAUGACGUCAAAUCAUCAUGCCCCUUAUGACCUGGGCUACACACGUGCUACAAUGGAUGGUACAAAGGGCAGCGAAACCGCGAGGUUUAGCCAAUCCCAUAAAACCAUUCUCAGUUCGGAUUGUAGGCUGCAACUCGCCUACAUGAAGCCGGAAUCGCUAGUAAUCGCGGAUCAGCAUGCCGCGGUGAAUACGUUCCCGGGCCUUGUA